AGAGUUUGAUCCUGGCUCAGAAUCAACGCUGGCGGCGUGCCUAACACAUGCAAGUCGAGCGAGAAAAGGGGAGCAAUCCUCUGAGUACAGCGGCGCACGGGUGAGUAACACGUGGGUAAUCUGCCCUAGAGUGGGGAAUAACACCGGGAAACCGGUGCUAAUACCGCAUACGAUCACGAGGUCUGCGGACUUUGUGAUGAAAGGAGCAAUUCGCUCCAGGAGGAGCCCGCGGCUGAUUAGCUAGUUGGUGAGGUAAUGGCUCACCAAGGCAACGAUCAGUAUCCGGUCUGAGAGGACGGCCGGACACACUGGAACUGAGACACGGUCCAGACUCCUACGGGAGGCAGCAGUGGGGAAUUUUUGGCAAUGGGGGCAACCCUGACCAAGCAACGCCGCGUGGGUGAUGAAGUCUCUUGGGACGUAAAACCCUUUCGACGGGGAAGAAACCGCAAGGUUGACGGUACCCGUAGAAGAAGCCCCGGCUAACUCCGUGCCAGCAGCCGCGGUAAU
rnacentral:rRNA from 1 species